GCGACUGUGGCGUAGAGGUCUAGCGCAUCAGUUUGUGGAACUGACAUUCGCGGGUUCGAAUCCCGUCAGUCGCCCCA
rnacentral:tRNA from 1 species